GGCGGCGGCGACGACGACGAAGGGGAGGAAGUGGGGGGAUUUGUGGAUCGUCUAGACGAGAACCGGCGGCAGUGCGAGGCCAUU
rnacentral:ribozyme from 1 species